rnacentral:rRNA from 1 species
GACGAACGCUGGCGGCGUGCUUAACACAUGUGAGUCGAACGGAAAGGCCCUGCUUUUGUGGGGUGCUCGAGUGGCGAACGGGUGAGUAACACGUGAGUAACCUGCCCUUGACUUUGGGAUAACUUCAGGAAACUGGGGCUAAUACCGGAUAGGAGCUCCUGCUGCAUGGUGGGGUUGGAAAGUUUCGGCGGUUGGGGAUGGACUCGCGGCUUAUCAGCUUGUUGGUGGGGUAGUGGCUUACCAAGGCUUUGACGGGUAGCCGGCCUGAGAGGGUGACCGGCCACAUUGGGACUGAGAUACGGCCCAGACUCCUACGGGAGGCAGCAGUGGGGAAUAUUGCACAAUGGGCGGAAGCCUGAUGCAGCAACGCCGCGUGCGGGAUGACGGCCUUCGGGUUGUAAACCGCUUUCGCCUGUGACGAAGCGUGAGUGACGGUAAUGGGUAAAGAAGCACCGGCUAACUACGUG